rnacentral:tRNA from 2 species
ACUCACGUGGUGAAAUUGGUAUACACGCUACCUUGAGGUGGUAGUAGAUUUGCUGGUUCAAAUCCAGUCGUGAGUA